rnacentral:lncRNA from 1 species
UGAGUGUGUGGAGGGUUCUGUCCUUGAGGAGCAUAGUCAAUCCUUGCCAUGGAGAUGCCGAGGGUGUUGAGACCUGGGAGCUUCAUCGCAUUGAUCAACGUGACGUUGGACUUGACCUUGCUCUUCGUCGUGUCCCCAGGCUUGUCAAGGUUGGCUGCUAGGAAGAAGUCAUCGACCUUAACAUCCUUCACAUCCUUGCAGGGUAACCCGUUGACACGUACUGCAUCAGCAUACAAGCAUGUGUUAGGAAGCUAUUCUCAGGUUUUGCUGUAAAACAUCAGAAUGUGAUCAUGUUUUCUUAGAUGAAGUACAUACCAGGCGAGUAUUUGUCUGCGACGCAGAAGUCCUGGAGAGGACCGGGAUCCGAAGCCAUGGCCCCAUAAGCGAUCAAGGCAAGAAGAACAAAGUGAAGAAGCAAGUUGGAGGAGGCCAUGUCUAGCAACCUCGGAGUUUGCUUUCUUCUUGCAAGCUAGGGAGCUCCUGGUUGUGUCUCGGAAUUUGUGUGUAUAGCAAUAGCUAGCUGAUGCUUUCUCCUUGGGGGUGGUUCAUCCUUAUAUAUAGCUGCUGAGAGUCUGAAGAGGUCAAUCAGCAGGGCCGGCGCACUAUAUUGAAAUGGUCGAUCAGGUGUAGUGCAACCCACGCAAGCAACUAUUUGAAUUUGUCAACACGGUCUUGUGUAGGUCAUCUACGCCCAGGACGCCUGAUGAAGUAACCUAGUAGUAAUAAACUGGAGAUCAUGUAGAUAUAAUGUGUUUCUAGCUAUCGUCAUGCAUGACAAUACAAAACGAUAGUGCUGAUUGGUUCUGUGAUCCAGGUAAAAAGAAACCUUGUUAAUUAUUAGGUUAAUUGUAAGACAUGGCCAUUUAAUUUGGAUAGGUUCAUGCAUGCGUUGACACUUUCAUAACAGAUAACCGUCUGCACGCAAAUUACUAAUAACUGAUCUGAUUAUUCUAAAUUAGCUCUUGUUUACUUCACCCCCAACUUCCAACUUUGGCACUAUGCAAAAAGAAGAUUCCCCAUCACAUCAAACUUGCGGUACAUGCAUGGAGUACUAAAUGUAGACGAAAUCAAAAACUAAUUGCACAGUUUUGUUGUGCUUUGCGAGACGAAUCUUUUGAGCCUAAUUAGUCAAUAUUUAGACAAUAAUUCACAAAUACAAACGAAACGCUACAGUGUCGCAUUUAUGACAAAAUGUCAAUUUUGGGGCUCCCAAGUUGGCAAGUAAACAAGGCGUUAUUAGUUCGUAACAAAUAUUUAUUGGUACCGUGGACACAGCAUUGCACAUGUAUGACUAAUUAGUUUGAUCAGUUAUACCUAGCACGUGAGAAUUUAUUUCUCCAUUAUAUUCAGUUAUCAAAAAUAAAUUUUAUAUGCACUAUAAAUUUAUAUACCAGUGAAGUAGAUAUUACACCUAUCGACUGCAAGGGGGCACCAAAAAAAAUUCACAGCCAUUGGUAAAAUAAAAUUUCUGCAAGGGAUAGUCUGCUGUCGCAUAAAAAAUAUUUUUUCUUUGGACCAGAUUGUCACUGAACGUCAGGAUGUGAUUAAAAAGAAUAAUUAAGCAAUGAUUUUCUCAUAAUUUUAGAAAUUUAUUAUAGGAAAACAAUUGGUCGUUUGUUUUAAAUUAAACAAGGUUGUUCUGUGUGUCUGUUGCAUUCAUGCCGAUGCAUCUUGGUGUUUCUUAAGUGCAAAAUAUUUUAAAAUGCUUUUAGAUGAUGACCAUGUUCUUCUGAGUAUUUCCCAACUUUUUCUAGAAUUUGCACUCAUUUUCCUAUAGCUAAAUCUAUUUAUUAGAAGGCUCUACAAUCUUUUUCAUGAGCUCCAAGUACUUUAUUUGGAUUCCUCAUGUCCCAGUCUAUCUAUGGGAUUUUUCCAAGAAUUUUUGAGAUUUUCAAAAGUAUUUUUCAUGGUUUAAUCGAAUUACCUAGAUUUUUUCUGGAUUUUUCUUUCACGAGAAAUUAUUUCUGAAAAAAAAGAAAAAUCUAAUCGAUUCGGUCAAGCCUUUGGGGCCUAACCCUCUCCAGUCAACCCGCACCGACCCGGCACAGUUAACGGCCUAGCCUGGCCCACUAGACCCACCGGCCACCGGCAGCUCAAGGCCGAGCGUAGCUGCUCCUAGGCACCACCGAACCUCGCCGUGCGCGCCAAGGCAGCCACGGACCCACACGCCUAUAAAAGGGCGAGCCCGUGCGCCUGCGACCCCCCCCCUGCUACAACCGCUUCCGCCUGCCGCUCACCCGGAUCUCCAUCGCCGCGCGUACCUGAGCCGCCCGCGAAGUAGAGUGCCCCCGGGCCCUCUAUGGCCAGUCACCUCAAUUAAUAGUUUGAUAAAUGCGACUCGACAAUUAAGUUUAUAUUAUAAAAUCACUUUUCAUGAUGAAUCUUCUAGUUUCAAAGUUACUUGCAUGUUUAACAAUAAAUAAUCAUUGCUAACUGCCCGGCCUGGCCCACUAGGCCCACCAACCACCGGCAUCUCGAGGCCGAGCGUAGCUGCGGCUAGGCGCCGCCGAACCUCGGCGUGCGCGCCAAGGUAGGCACGGGGCACGGACCUGCGCGCCUAUAAAAGGGCGAGCCCAUGCGCCUGCGACCCCCCCCCCCUGCUGCAACAGCUUCCGUCUGCCGCUUGCCUAGAGCUCCGUGGCCGUGUGUUGCGUCCCUGAGCUGCCCGCGAAGCAGAGCGCCCCCGGGCCCUCUAUGGCCAGUCACCACAAUUAAUAGUUUGAUAAAUGCGACUCGACAAUUAAGUUUAUAUCAUAAAAUCACUUUUCAUGAUGAAUCUUCUAGUUUCAAAGUUACUUGCAUGUUUAACAAUAAAUAAUCAUUGCUAAUUUAAAUAGUAUGACUUAGGAAAGGGUAGCCCCAUAUGUUCUAAAAUUUUUUUUUUGCGAAUGUUCUAAAUAAUUAAGCUGCACCAUAUAUGUUCAAAAAAACAGUUCUAGUGUGUUUUCGUUAUCAUAUUUUAUUUUUUUCAACGCAUUCAUACUAGCUUUUCAUGAAAGUGAUGUCAUGGCAAGAGAUGUUGCCCAUCAGGAAACAUCUAUCACAAAUAAUGAACUUGAUGGCAAAAUGAAAGAGAUACAUAGGGUUCCACUAAUUGAAGCUGGCAACAUAAAUCACCUGCAUAAAGCUUGUGACACAAGUCAGAGUGCAUAUAUCGUCAUGCAAACCAUCCAAUGUCGAACAUUUCUGGAUCAUGAUCCGAUUGUCUUUACGGAAUAUGUGUGUCACAGGAGUUUUGAAAUUCUUUGAUCCAAGAGAAGACCGGCAUGGGUCCCAUGCUUUUGCACAAACUUACUCAACGUUUCUGCAUCAUGAUGUGAUUGUCUUUUUGGAAUAUGAGAGCUGAAAACCAUAUAUUGCAUCUCAAUUAACUAACAACUGCAUUUCAUAUAUGAUUUGCAGUUUACAAAUGAUGUCAUACAAUGUUUUACACAAUCUAUAAGGGAGUAAUUUGCAACAUCAUAUAGAGAAAUAAAAUUAAUCAAUGUUGUUUCUUAUUACACAGCUAAGCAACCAUGAUGAAAGCAUUCUUGACUUAGUUGUGGUUGUCCUCCCAAAACUGAGCUUGGAGCCAAUCCACAACCUUCUUGUCCACCUGAAACGCCUUGGCAAGAACAUCAUCCGCAAUCGGUGGUUUCGACCCAAACACUGCAUUAGAAAUGGUAAUAGCCCCAGGGUUCUGGCUGCUUAGUGCCGCGAUGGCAACCGCUGGCUUGUCAUAACUUGGAUUGAACUGAAAGUGGAUCAGGCCUUGCGGGAACACAAAAACGUCUCCCUUGUUGAGCAUCUUACUGAAAAACUUGUUGUCCGGGUUAGACGUGACAAAACCAACGUAGAGUGAACCUUCAAGAACUGUUAGGAUCUCCGUGGCACGGGGGUGAGUGUGUGGAGGGUUCUGUCCUUGAGGAGCAUAGUCAAUCCUCGCCAUGGAGAUGCCGAGGGUGUUGAGACCUGGGAGCUUCAUCGCAUUGAUCAACGUGACGUUGGACUUGACCUUGCUCUUCGUCGUGUCCCCAGGCUUGUCAAGGUUGGCUGCUAGGAAGAAGUCAUCGACCUUAACAUCCUUCACAUCCUUGCAGGGCAACCCGUUGACACGUACUGCAUCAAUGAAGCAACAUACAUGUGUUAUGGGAGGCUCAUCAUCAAACGUGUACUACGCCAUGUGAUUUUCAUUACAAGGCGGUAUAAACUUUCUCAAUUUUCAUUUCAGCUUCGUUAUGAACCACGCAAUCAUGAUGUGAUACAGACGUGUUAUGAUUAAGAUGAAGACUGAAGCACAUACCAUGCGUGUCUUUGUCGGCGACACAGAAGUCCUGGAGAGGACUGGGAUCCGAUGCUAUGGCACCGGAAGCGGCCAAGGCGAGAAGAACGGUGAGAAGAAAGAAGUUGGAGGAGGCCAUGCCUAGCAACCUAGACAGGAGUUUUCUCUCUUCUAUGGAGCUGCCUGUUGUGUAUAUGUAUCUAUACUUAGCUGAUGCUUUGUCCAUGGAGGCGUUGCAUGCAUAUAUAUAGCAGCUGAGACUCUGAAGAGGUCAUUCAGCAGGUUGCCCAACAGAAAUUGUCUCAGGUGUAGUGUAUCCCGAGAAAGAACCUAUUUGAUUUGGUCAACACGUUCUUGAUGAGUAAAUCAAUGCAAUAUCUACUCCCAAGACCCAGAUGAGGUGACCGUGUAAAAUUGUGAUCGUGGUGUAAAAUUUUAAUAAACACAACAGUUAUCCAUCAGGAAAUAUGAGAGCAAAAGAAUACUAACAAGUAACAGUGUUGCAUAGUCCCAUGCAUGACCACGUCUGAUUAGUUACCAAACACAUACAUAAAAAAGGAUGAACUCGAGGAAACUUCGUCGAGUUUGACUGAUGCAAAUAAACAAUUGCAGAUGGUCAGAGCAUGUACUCGACCUGAUAACGACCGUUUCAAUCUAGCAAUGUUGCUCAUCUUCUGGUUGACUUAUUCCCAACCUCACCUACUCUUUCUGCUUCUAUAUAUACACGUCCAUCCUCCCCAGGGCCAAAGCAUCAAACAGCUAGCAGAAACCCAAACACCACCAAGCCAAAUAAGAACAACAGAAAUACACCAAAUGGCCUCCUCCACCACCUUUCUUGUUCUGACCGCUCUUCUUGCACUGCUCUCAUGGCAAGCGAUUGCUUCGGACCCAAGCCCUCUGCAGGAUUUCUGCGUUGCUGACAAGGAUUCUCAUGGUAUGUACCUUCACAUAUAUCAUCCGAACAUUUGUUAAUUAUUUGUAAUUGUACAAACUAUAUGUAUAAUUACAUGUAAUCAAACAUAUGUCGGACUUCAAUUCUUAUUAGCUUUUGGGCAUAACUUCAACAUGUGUUCCCCUCCAUGAUGCAGUGCGUGUCAAUGGAUUUGUGUGCAAAGACCCGAAGGACGUCAAGGCAGAUGACUUCUUCCUAGCAGCCAACCUCGACAAGCCAAGGGACACGACAGUUAGCAAGGUUGGGUCCAAUGUGACCUUGAUCAAUGUCAUGCGGAUCCCUGGCCUCAACACCCUUGGAAUCUCCCUAGCACGCAUUGACUAUGCUCCACUAGGCGAAAACCCUCCUCACACACACCCUCGUGCUACUGAGAUCCUAACAGUGUUGGAAGGCACACUCUAUGUGGGAUUCGUGACAUCGAACCAAGAUAACAAGCUGUUCACCAAAACGCUCAACAAGGGUGAUGUGUUCGUAUUCCCAGAAGGGCUCAUCCACUUCCAAUUCAACCCUUGCCCUGACAAGCCAGCAGUUGCAAUUGCUGCACUUAGUAGCCAGAACCCUGGUGCUAUUACCAUUGCCAAUGCUGUUUUCGGAUCAAAGCCACCGAUCUCAGAUGACGUCCUAGCCAAGGCAUUUCAAGUGGAGAAGAAGACUGUAGACUGGCUCCAAGCUCAGUUCUGGAGUGACAACCACAACUAAAUUCACGAUGUUGUAUUCAUACAAAAUGUUCUUAAUGUUUUUUAUUUUCUCAAUUUAUUUCUUGGAAGUCUUGACGUUGUAAUACAUUUGUGACCAGAAGAUCACAUGCUACAAAAUAUAAUUUACAGUUUAAAUAAGACUGUUAUAAAGAGAUCACACAGAAACAAUUGCUCUACUGAGACUUUUUUGCCAUCCCAACUCAUUUUUGUGUCUUUGUUAAUUGAAUUGUUUUGUGAGUCACAGGACUCUUGGCAUGAGAGAGAGGAGAGUAGCCUAGGGAACGGAUGCGAGACUUGCGAGUUAAGUGGAUUGUAUUUUUUUGGGUUCACGCUGCGUUUCACAGCUGGACAGUGUUAAAUUCCCACCUCCAACCAGCGGUGAAAAGUAUCAUCAGUGCCGGUUUUUGUGAUCCCUACCCCUAUCUAGUUAUAAACCGGCGAUAAAAGGAUAUCACCGCCGGUUCGCAUAAAACCGGCGGUGAUAGCCUGUUAGAGAUAGCUCGUUUUGUAGUAGUGCUACUUUAUCCAAAUGUAUGUCAGGAUCUAGUUUCAUACAUAUAUAUAUAGUGGCAUCAUUAUUGAAUAACAGUAACAGUAUCACGUAAAGGAAUAAGAGUGUAUAUUAGAGAUUUAUGCUUAAUCGUGGAAACAAAGGCUCCAAACUUCACAGGCAAACGACUGGGGCUGCAUACGCCUAGAACCCAAGAUCAUCUUCACAACAACUUCAUAGCAGCUUCUUCUUCUGAGCAACGUUGGUUAUACUCAGCAAGUGUGGAGAAAAUAUGAAUGCAAGCCUUAAAAAAGGAAAGGCUGACUGGUUUGCUGCAUUAAGCAUUUUUAGUUGGUCAUAUUUUUAUUAGCACCUGAUUAAGGUAUAAGUAUAUACCAACCCACAUUUAACAUAAACAUAAGCUAUAAGAAUAUGGCACAACCAUAACCACAAUUUAAGUCCACCUUCAAGUAUAUUAAUCAUGUGAGGGUCCAUGCCGCUCUUGACCAUGAGUAUGGCUAAUCGAUCAGUUUUACAUUCUGCAAAGAUUGCACAUCUUUACCCAUAAGUCGCAUAAAAGUUCAAAAGAACUUUGGACCCAACCAUGUUGUGCUGAUCAAGCACUCAUCACACUACCGAGGUGUGACCGCAUAGGAACGCUACGAGACCUUUACAAAGAUUCGCUACCAAGUGGUAACCCGUUAAGGUUUCCGAAUCAGUAGCAGAGCAUAGCCCUCCCUAGUGGGUUUAGUAUCUUAGCCAAGUCCACUUCCCAAGAUGACUGGGCUAUACCCCAUCUGCCGCCACCCCUCUUGCCCUUUUCAGGUAAGAUUACCCCAGACUUCAAGCUCGUGAAAAUGAUUUUAUAUUCUUCCAAAAAUUGGAUUUAGUUCUACGAAAAAUGAGAAUAAAUUACAGAAAAAGCUGGAUGGACAUCAUCUAAACGUAUUUUUGAAACUUUUACCCUCAAAAAACCCAAGAUGCAUCGGCAUGCAUGCACACACACAGAAUAACAUUAUUUAAUUUCGAAAAAUAAACAAUUAUUUUGUUUCCUAUUCUAAAUUUUCUGUAAAGAAAAAUAAAUGUUGGGAAAAAUUUUAAAAUUAUGACAAAAUCAUGGUUUAUUUAUUCCUUUUAAUCACAUCAUGAAAUUCAAAAUUUUCAGGGUGUGACAGCUCUCACUUCUCGAGGAGUCGGACAGUUUCAAGUUUGACUCCAAAUAGAUUUAGUAUAAAAAUAUAUUACAUGAUUAAUCUAUUGAUAUUUAUUUUCUACCAUAAAUGUUAGUACUAUUUUGUUUAAACUUGGUCAAAUUUAAAAUUAGUUGACUUCUUAGAAAGUGAGAGUUGUAUUCUUUUUGGGACACAAAAUAAACUUGGUCAAAUUUAAAAUUAGUUGACUUCUUAGAAAGUGAGAGUUGUAUUUUUUUGGGACGGAAGGAAUAUUUCCUUUCUUUUUCUUGCACGUCAUGAGAUUACUUGGACGCAGCAUAAUUCUCAAGUCUCCAAUGUUGCGUGUGGUCCUGAUAAUAAGACCCCAUUUGUCAAGAUCUUGAAGCAGGAGCAGUGCUAGCGGCCUGUGGAAAUGUCGACAUCGUUCAAAACGCAGCCGAUCAAAGACAAAAAGUUGUCACGUCAGCCAAGAACCGGAACCAGUUUGUUGACAAGCUCGCAGGCCUGUGGACAAUAUAAUAAGUUGAGGUACAAGUCAAGACAAUCUGUGUUGAAGAAAAAUAUUGUUUACAUUAAUAUCCAAACAAGACAUAGAAUGGUACAACAGCUUGCAGGCACACAUUAACAAGAAGUCAGUAGUACCUAAUACUCGCCAGUCACCACAAUUAAUAUUUUGAUAAAUGCGACUAGACAAUUAAGUUUAUAUUAUAAAAUCACUUUUCAUGAUGAAUCUUCUAGUUUCAAAGUUACUAGCAUGUUUAACAAUAAAUAAUCAUUACUAAAUAGUUUGACUUAGGAAAGGGUAGCCCCAUAUGUUCUAAAUAUUUUCUUUUGAGAAUGUUCUAAAUAAUUAAGCUGUACCAUAUAUGUUCAAAAAAACAGUUCUAGUGUGUUGUCGUUAUCGUAUUUUAUUUUUUUCAACGCAUUCAUACUAGCUUUUCAUGAAAGUGAUGUCAUGGCAAGAGAUGUUACCCAUCAGGAAACAUCUAUCACAAAUAAUGAACUUGAUGGCAAAAUGAAAGAGAUACAUAGGGUUCCACUAAUUGAAGCUGGCAACAUAAAUCACCUGCAUAAAGCUUGUGACACAAGUCAGAGUGCAUAUAUCGUCAUGCAAACCAUCCAAUGUCGAACAUUUCUGAUCAUGAUCCGAUUGUCUUUACGGAAUAUUCGUUUCACAGGAGUUUUGCAAUUCUUUGAUCCAAGAGAAGACCAGCAUGGGUCCCAUGCUUUUGCACAAACUUACUCAACGUUUCUGCAUCAUGAUGUGAUUGUCUUUACGUAAUAUGAGAGCUGAAAACCAUUGCAUCUCAAUUAACUAACAACUGCAUUUCAUAUAUGAUUUGCAGUUUACAAAUGAUGUCAUACAAUGUUUUACACAAUCUAUAAGGGAGUAAUUUGCAACAUCAUAUAGAGAAAUAAAAUUAAUCAAUGUUGUUUCUUAUUACACAGCUAAGCAACCAUGAUGAAAGCAUUCUUGACUUAGUUGUGGUUGUCCUCCCAAAACUGAGCUUGGAGCCAAUCCACAACCUUCUUGUCCACCUGAAACGCCUUGGCAAGAACAUCAUCCGCAAUCGGUGGUUUCGAUCCAAACACUGCAUUAGAAAUGGUAAUAGCCCCAGGGUUCUGGCUGCUUAGUGCCGCGAUGGCAACCGCUGGCUUGUCAUAACUUGGAUUGAACUGAAAGUGGAUCAGGCCUUGCGGGAACACAAAAACGUCUCCCUUGUUGAGCAUCUUACUGAAAAACUUGUUGUCCGGGUUAGACGUGACAAAACCAACGUAGAGUGAACCUUCAAGAACUGUUAGGAUCUCCGUGGCACGGGGGUGAGUGUGUGGAGGGUUCUGUCCUUGAGGAGCAUAGUCAAUCCUUGCCAUGGAGAUGCCGAGGGUGUUGAGACCUGGGAGCUUCAUCGCAUUGAUCAACGUGACGUUGGACUUGACCUUGCUCUUCGUCGUGUCCCCAGGCUUGUCAAGGUUGGCUGCUAGGAAGAAGUCAUCGACCUUAACAUCCUUCACAUCCUUGCAGGGUAACCCGUUGACACGUACUGCAUCAGCAUAUAAGCAUGUGUUAGGAAGCUAUUCUCAGGUUUUGCUGUAAA